rnacentral:tRNA from 1 species
CCUUCGAUAGCUCAGUUGGUAGAGCGGUGGACUGUAGUACAAGUUGCAUUCAAAAAACAUCAAGAUUGACUGUCUACCUUGGGCGCCGCUUGCGGCGCCCAUUGUAUACAGUGUUAGGUGCAGACAUCCAUAGGUCGCUGGUUCAAAUCCGGCUCGAAGGA